rnacentral:rRNA from 1 species
CCUACGGGAGGCAGCAGUGGGGAAUAUUGCACAAUGGGGGAAACCCUGAUGCAGCGACGCCGCGUGAGUGAAGAAGUAUUUCGGUACGUAAAGCUCUAACAGCAGGGAAGAAAAGGACGGUACCUGACGAAGAAGCCCCGGCGAACGACGUGCCAGCAGCCGCGGUAAUACGAAGGGGGCAAGCGUUAUCCGGAGUUACUGGGUGUAAAGGGAGCGUAGCCGGCAGCGCAAGUCUGGAGUGAAAUCCCAUGGCUUAACCAUGGAACGGCUUUGGAAACUGUGCAGCUAGAGGGCAGGAGAGGUACGCGGAAUUCCUCGUGUAGCGGUUCACUGCUUCGAUAUUAGGAGGAACCCCAGUGGCGCAGGCGGCUUCCUGGACUGUAACUGACGUUGCGGCUCGCAAGCGUGGGGAGCAAACCGGAUUAGAUACCCUUGUAGUC